GCCCAGGUGGCGGAAUCUACCUUGAGGUGGUAGCGACGAGAGUCGUGGGGGUUCGAGUCCCCCCUUGGGCACCA
rnacentral:tRNA from 1 species